CGACGUUCAACCGCAAAACAAGCAGAGGGGGCUUAGUGGUGGGGUGACUGCGUACCUUUUGUAUAAUGGGUCAGCGACUUAUAUUCUGUAGCAAGGUUAACCGUAUAGGGGAGCCGGAGGGAAACCGAGUCUUAACCGGGCGUUAAGUUGCAGGGUAUAGACCCGAAACCCGGUGAUCUAGCCAUGGGCAGGUUGAAGGUUGGGUAACACUAACUGGAGGACCGAACCGACUAAUGUUGAAAAAUUAGCGGAUGACCUGUGGCUGGGGGUGAAAGGCCAAUCAAACCGGGAGAUAGCUGGUUCUCCCCGAAAGCUAUUUAGGUAGCGCCUCGUGAAUUCAUCUCCGGGGGUAGAGCACUGUUUCGGCUAGGGGGCCAUCCCGGCUUACCAACCCGAUGCAAACUGCGAAUACCGGAGAAUGUUAUCACGGGAGACACACGGCGGGUGCUAACGUCCGUCGUGAAGAGGGAAACAACCCAGACCGCCAGCUAAGGUCCCAAAGUCAUGGUUAAGUGGGAAACGAUGUGGGAAGGCCCAGACAGCCAGGAUGUUGGCUUAGAAGCAGCCAUCAUUUAAAGAAAGCGUAAUAGCUCACUGGUCGAGUCGGCCUGCGCGGAAGAUGUAACGGGGCUAAACCAUGCACCGAAGCUGCGGCAGCGAACGUAUCACCCAAGACAACUUUACGGAGUUGACGAUUGACGGAGCGAAGCGACGUCAAAGCGUUCAUUAAAGUCGAGUUGGCUUAGGGAUACGUUCGUUGGGUAGGGGAGCGUUCUGUAAGCCUGUGAAGGUGUGUCGUGAGGCAUGCUGGAGGUAUCAGAAGUGCGAAUGCUGACAUAAGUAACGAUAAAGCGGGUGAAAAGCCCGCUCGCCGGAAGACCAAGGGUUCCUGUCCAACGUUAAUCGGGGCAGGGUGAGUCGACCCCUAAGGCGAGGCCGAAAGGCGUAGUCGAUGGGAAACGGGUUAAUAUUCCCGUACUUGGUGUUACUGCGAAGGGGGGACGGAGAAGGCUAUGUUGGCCGGGCGACGGUUGUCCCGGUUUAAGCGUGUAGGUGUGUGUUCCAGGUAAAUCCGGUUCACUUUAACACUGAGGCGUGACGACGAGGCACUACGGUGCUGAAGCAACAAAUGCCCUGCUUCCAGGAAAAGCCUCUAAGCAUCAGGUAACACGAAAUCGUACCCCAAACCGACACAGGUGGUCAGGUAGAGAAUACCAAGGCGCUUGAGAGAACUCGGGUGAAGGAACUAGGCAAAAUGGUGCCGUAACUUCGGGAGAAGGCACGCUGACACGUAGGUGAAGUGAUUUACUCAUGGAGCUGAAGUCAGUCGAAGAUACCAGCUGGCUGCAACUGUUUAUUAAAAACACAGCACUGUGCAAACACGAAAGUGGACGUAUACGGUGUGACGCCUGCCCGGUGCCGGAA
rnacentral:rRNA from 1 species